CCUACGGGUGGCUGCAGUAAGGAAUAUUGGUCAAUGGAGGAAACUCUGAACCAGCCAUCCCGCGUGAAGGAUGAAGGGGCUCUGCCUUGUAAACUUCUUUUGUCUGGGGCGAAAAAGCUCGAUUUAUCGAGAACUGACGGUACCAGAAGAAUAAGCACCGGCUAACUCCGUGCCAGCAGCCGCGGUAAUACGGAGGGUGCAAGAGUUACCCGGAUUCACGGGGUUGAAAGGGUGCGAAGAAGGCAGAGGUGAAAGGCUGUGGCUUAACCAUGGAAUUGCCAUUGAGACUGCAGAGCUUGAAUGAGGUUGAGGUUGGCGGAAUGUUACAUGUAGCGGUGAAAUGCUUAGAUAUGUCAUGGAACACCGACUGCGAAGGCAGCUGACUGGACCUAUAUUGACGCUGAGGCACGAAAGCGUGGGGAGCGAACAGGAUUAGAUACCCGAGUAGUC
rnacentral:rRNA from 1 species